rnacentral:piRNA from 1 species
GAGCUCCGCAUGUCUCUGUGGCGCAAUCGG